rnacentral:lncRNA from 1 species
CCUCCCAUAAGAACCAUCACAGACUCAGGACCAGGUGUUGUAGUGUGGCCAAGAUUUGAACUAUAGCAGGCUAAUGUAGAAGAGAACUCAUGUGUGAUAUUAUUCAAUAUUCUAGGCCGAGGACACACCCUACAGCUGAUGCCUACCCCAAAUAUCAACAUGACCAAAGAAUUCGAAGAGCUAGCCUGCAGAAAGAGGAGAUAAGAUGGAGCAGCACUCUUAUAUUCUCUAUCAUGCAGUCCAGAAGUGGAGGAGGUGACCUCCUGGACUCUCUCCUGGCUGUUUUGUAAAGAACUCAAGCAGGGGCAAUCAGCAGAGGUCCAGAGAAGAUGGAGUCCACCAACACCAUGGCUGUGUAGCUUGUGCCCUCCACGCCUGC